GCAGUAGCCGCGGCAAUACGUAGGGUGCAAGCGUUAAUCGGAAUUACUGGGCGUAAAGCGUGCGCAGGCGGUUAUAUAAGACAGAUGUGAAAUCCCCGGGCUCAACCUGGGAACUGCAUUUGUGACUGUAUAGCUAGAGUACGGCAGAGGGGGAUGGAAUUCCGCGUGUAGCAGUGAAAUGCGUAGAUAUGCGGAGGAACACCGAUGGCGAAGGCAAUCCCCUGGGCCUGUACUGACGCUCAUGCACGAAAGCGUGGGGAGCAAACAGGAUUAGAUACCCCGGUAGUCCCUGUCUCUUAUAC
rnacentral:rRNA from 1 species